GCCGCGAAUUCGCCCUUAGGGUUUGAUCAUGGCUCAGAUUGAACGCUGGCGGCAGGCCUAACACAUGCAAGUCGAGCGGUAGCACAGGAGAGCUUGCUCUCCGGGUGACGAGCGGCGGACGGGUGAGUAAUGUCUGGGAAACUGCCCGAUGGAGGGGGAUAACCACUGGAAACGGUGGCUAAUACCGCAUAACGUCUACGGACCAAAGAGGGGGACCUUCGGGCCUCUUGCCAUCGGAUGUGCCCAGAUGGAAUUAGCUAGUAGGUGGGGUAACGGCUCACCUAGGCGACGAUCCCUAGCUGGUCUGAGAGGAUGACCAGCCACACUGGAACUGAGACACGGUCCAGACUCCUACGGGAGGCAGCAGUGGGGAAUAUUGCACAAUGGGCGCAAGCCUGAUGCAGCCAUGCCGCGUGUGUGAAGAAGGCCUUCGGGUUGUAAAGCACUUUCAGCGAGGAGGAAGGCCAAUAGCUUAAUACGCUGUUGGAUUGACGUUACUCGCAGAAGAAGCACCGGCUAACUCCGUGCCAGCAGCCGCGGUAAUACGGAGGGUGCAAGCGUUAAUC
rnacentral:rRNA from 1 species